UACGAAGGGGGGCUAGCGUUGCUCGGAAUCACUGGGCGUAAAGCGCACGUAGGCGGCUUUCUAAGUCAGGGGGUGAAAUCCUGGAGCUCAACUCCAGAACUGCCUUUGAUACUGGAGAGCUUGAGUCCGGGAGAGGUGAGUGGAACUCCGAGUGUAGAGGUGAAAUUCGUAGAUAUUCGGAAGAACACCAGUGCGAAGGCGGCUCACUGGCCCGGUACUGACGCUGAUGUGCGAAAGCGUGGGGAGCAAACAGG
rnacentral:rRNA from 1 species